rnacentral:rRNA from 1 species
CCUACGGGAGGCUGCAGUGGGGAAUAUUGCACAAUGGGGGAAACCCUGAUGCAGCGACGCCGCGUGAGUGAAGAAGUAUUUCGGUACGUAAAGCUCUAUCAGCAGGGAAGAAAAUGACGGUACCUGACUAAGAAGCCCCGGCUAACUACGUUCCAGCAGCCGCGGUAAUACGUAGGGGGCAAGCGUUAUCCGGAUUUACUGGGUGUAAAGGGAGCGUAGACGGCAGCGCAAGUCUGGAGUGAAAUCCCAUGGCUUAACCAUGGAACUGCUUUGGAAACUGUGCAGCUAGAGUGCAGGAGAGGUAAGCGGAAUUCCGAGUGUAGCGGUGAAAUGCGUAGAUAUUAGGAGGAACACCAGUGGCGAAGGCGGCUUACUGGACUGUAACUGACGUUGAGGCUCGAAAGCGUGGGGAGCAAACAGGAUUAGAUACCCCAGUAGUC